AUGAAGAAGCGGAUUUUCAGAGUAUCUCAGGCACACAAGCUAAAGGUUCACCAAGUUCAGGGAAAGAAAAGUUUCCCUAGACACGUGGCGGCGGUCAAGACAAGAGCGUUGUCCAUCGUGGCCCAUCGUGGGUGUUGCCAGGCGACCAGAGGCGGCUACAGCAGGCCAGUGGCCGUGAUCAAGACAGACACCGGGAAGGCUGUCGAACUACAUAUGAGAGGUACAAAGGGUUGGCCAAGAUACUCAAUGAAGCUAUUCGAUUUAAGUGCCAUCGAUAGGUUCUGCUGGUUUCUACCUCCAUGCUGCUUAAACCAAUUACCUCCUCAAUUCUACGCCAUGGGUAGAUGA
rnacentral:rRNA from 1 species